AAACAUUCUACUGUUCCUGUUCUUUUCGUGGACUCUUCCUAUAUAUUAUAAACGAAGUUAUACACGUUUUAAGGGGGAAGGAGAGUUUGAUAACGGGUUUCCAAAUUGUCUAAAGAUUUUUUUUUUUUCAUUUCAAUGACCAAAACUUUAGGAAUUGCGUCUGCUAUAAGCAUAAAAUGCUUAACACUUAAAAUAUAUACAUUUUUUCAAAAACACAAUCAAUGUUUUUCACAAUUUUCAGUAAAAUAGGACAAUUAUUUCUACUUCAAACAUAACGUUAUAGUAAAGAACCAUUUAAAGAAUCAUAAUCCGUUUUUAAAAUUGAAAUCCUUCAAAUACAAUUUCUACAGUUUUUUCCUUAGCUUUU